AAGUAGCGGCGCGUACCUACUCGCGCGGACGGCGCGGAGCUAUUUGUAAUUUGUUCGUAGUUAUUUCAUUCUUCUCAUUAAUACGUAUUGUUUUAUGUUAAGAAGAUGGUUGUGGGAUUAAGAGGAAAUAAAAAACGUCGUCUAGCCUUCAAGUUCCUGCAGCCGACGUGCGGCGACACGCCGACGACACGACCUCAAGAGGUCACGACACAAUCACAUCAG
rnacentral:misc_RNA from 1 species